rnacentral:rRNA from 1 species
UGAGGGAAUAUUGGGUCAAUGGACGCAAGUCUGAACCAGCCAAGUAGCGUGCAGGAUGACGGCCCUAUGGGUUGUAAACUGCUUUUAUAAGGGAAUAAAGUGGGUCACGUGUGACUUUUUGCAUGUACCUUAUGAAUAAGGACCGGCUAAUUCCGUGCCAGCAGCCGCGGUAAUACGGAAGGUCCUGGUGUUAUCCGGAUUUAUUGGGUUUAAAGGGAGCGUAGGCUGUUGCUUAAGCGUGUUGUGAAAUGCCGCGGCUCAACCGUGGCACUGCAGCGCGAACUGGGCGGCUUGAGUUACCGGUAGGCAGGCGGAAUUCGUGGUGUAGCGGU